rnacentral:rRNA from 1 species
UACGAAGGUCCCAAGCGUUGUUCGGAAUCACUGGGCGUAAAGGGUGCGUAGGCGGCAAUGUAAGUCAGAUGUGAAAUUUCUGGGCUCAACCUGGAAACUGCAUCCGAUACUGCACUGCUAGAGUGGCGGAGAGGAGUCUGGAAUUCACGGUGUAGCAGUGAAAUGCGUAGAGAUCGUGAGGAACACUAGUGGCGAAGGCGAGACUCUGGACGCUUACUGACGCUGAGGCACGAAGGCCAGGGGAGCAAAAGGG